AUGUGUCAUACCAGGGGUAGAUGAAAUGACUGAAGUCUAACAUUAAUUACAAAUUUGUAAAUUGAACAGACAGUAUUAAGAGAAAUGUGUUAAUGUUGCUAUCGAGGGAGGUAAAGUCUAAUUGUUUGGAAUAGGUAGUAAGAGAAAUGUCUUAAUGUUGCUAUCAGGGAGGUAAAGUCUAAUUGUUUGGAAUAGGUAGUAAGAGAAAUGUCUUAAUGUUGCUAUCAGGGAGGUAAAGUCUAAUUGUUUGGAAUAGGUAGUAAGAGAAAUGUCUUAAUGUUGCUAUCAGGGAGGUAAAGUCUAAUUGUUUGGAAUAGGUAGUAAGAGAAAUGUCUUAAUGUUGCUAUCAGGGAGGUAAAGUCUAAUGUUGCUAUCAGGGAGGUAAAGUCUAAUUGUUGCUAUCAGGGAGGUAAAGUCUAAUUGUUGCUAUCAGGGAGGUAAAGUCUAAUUGUUUGGAAUAGGUAGUACUUUGACUAUGCUACACUAGAAGUUUCAUUCAUAGAAAAGAUAUCAUUUACAGAAGGUAUAGAGAUUGCACUCAAAUACCAUAAUUAAAUUUAAAAAAAAAACAAUAGCAAAAUAAAAAACAACAAUGAAAAGACAAAUGACAGCCCAAA